GACGAACGCCGGCGGCGUGCUUAACACAUGCAAGUCGAACGGAAAGGCCCUGCUUUUGUGGGGUGCUCGAGUGGCGAACGGGUGAGUAACACGUGAGUAACCUGCCCUUGACUUUGGGAUAACUUCAGGAAACUGGGGCUAAUACCGGAUAGGAGCUCCUGCUGCAUGGUGGGGGUUGGAAAGUUUCGGCGGUUGGGGAUGGACUCGCGGCUUAUCAGCUUGUUGGUGGGGUAGUGGCUUACCAAGGCUUUGACGGGUAGCCGGCCUGAGAGGGUGACCGGCCACAUUGGGACUGAGAUACGGCCCAGACUCCUACGGGAGGCAGCAGUGGGGAAUAUUACACAAUGGGCGGAAGCCUGAUGCAGCAACGCCGCGUGCGGGAUGACGGCCUUCGGGUUGUAAACCGCUUUCGCCUGUGACGAAGCGUGAGUGACGGUAAUGGGUAAAGAAGCACCGGCUAACUACGUG
rnacentral:rRNA from 1 species